rnacentral:lncRNA from 1 species
GAGGCCAUAAGUCAAGUUUCAAUCGGUGAAAACCUUUGAAACUUGAGUAUGUCACUCUAGACUCCCGUAUCUUUCUUUUGGCAUCGGCCUCACCAUUUUUGAGUAAGGGAAACAACCGGUAUAAAUUCUUGAAAUCUAGUUCUUAUUCCUUGUACCAUCCAGUAGGUUUUACAAACCUACGACUUUGAGGUCGCAAAGGCCGACUUAAAUCUUUGAUUCUCAAGCCUAUCUUUCUACUGAAUAUUCACUGACAUGUUGGGAACUUACUUGUUCAGUUUUAGAAUUUUUGGUGAAGCCUAAAGUGGUUUUUCCGAUUUAUGUUCUGAAUCUGCCAAACUUGAACUCUUUUUGUGCACUGAACUUUAGACAGUCA